AUGGUGAAGGUCAUUGUGAACAGAUUUGGCCGUAUUAGGUGCCUGAUAACCAGGACUGCCAUUUGCUUUCCACUUGACAAAGUGUAGAUUGUUGCCAUCAAGAACCUCUUCAUUAACCUCAACUAAUGGCCUAUGUGUUCCAGUAUGACUCCACCCAUGGCAAAUUCAACGGCACAGUCAAGGCUGAGAAUGGGAAGCUUGUCAUCAAUGGGAAGCCCAUCACCAUCUUCCAGGAGCCAGACCCCGCUAACAUGAAGUGGGGUGAUUCUGGUGCUGAGUAUGUCGAAAAGUCUACUAAUGUCUUCACCAACUUGGAGAAUGCCAGAGCCCACUCGAAGGGUGGGGCCAAAUAGGUCAUCAUCUCUACCCCUUCUGCCAAUGCCCCCAUGUUUGUGAUGGGUGUGAGCCAUGCAAAAUAUGACAACUCACUCAAGAUUGUCAGCAAUGCAUCCUGCACCACCAACUGCUUAGUCCCCCGGCCAAGGUCAUCCAUGACAACUUUAGCAUCGUGAAAGGGCUCAUGAUCAUGGUUCAUGCUAUUACUGCCACUCAGAUGCCUGUGGAUGGCCCUUGUGGAAAACUGUGGUGUGAUGACCAUGGGGCUGCCCAGAACAUCAUCCCUGCAUCCACUGGUGCUGUGAAGGCUGUGGGCAAGGUCAUCCCAGAGCUGUUUAGGAAGCUUACUGGCUUGGUCCUUCCUGUUCCUAUCAAAUGUAUCCAUUGUGGAUCUGAAAUGCCACCUGCCUGAAGAAACCUGCCAAGUAUGAAGACAUCAAGAAAGUGGUGAAGCAGGCAUCUGAGGGCCCACUAAAGGGCAUCUUGGGCUACACUGAGGGCCAGGUUGUCUCCUACGGCGUCAACAGCAACUCCUACUCUUCCAUCUUUGAUGCUGGGGCUGGCAUUGCUCUCAACUUUGUAAAGCUCAUUCACUGGUAUGACAAUGAAUACAGCUACAGCUGCAGGGCUGUAGACCCCAUGGCCUCCAUGGCCCACAAGGAAUAA
rnacentral:lncRNA from 1 species